GGGCAUAUAGCUCAAUUGGCAGAGCGAUCGUCUUAUACACGAUUGGUUCCAGGUUCGAGUCCUGGUAUGCCCA
rfam:Parcubacteria bacterium GW2011_GWB1_41_4 TT61_C0035, whole genome shotgun sequence.